rnacentral:rRNA from 1 species
UACGAAGGGGGCUAGCGUUGCUCGGAAUCACUGGGCGUAAAGCGCACGUAGGCGGCUUUUUAAGUCAGGGGUGAAAUCCUGGAGCUCAACUCCAGAACUGCCUUUGAUACUGAGAAGCUUGAGUCCGGGAGAGGUGAGUGGAACUGCGAGUGUAGAGGUGAAAUUCGUAGAUAUUCGGAGGAACACCAGAAGCGAAGGCGGCCAACUGGCCCGAUACUGACGCUGAGGCGCGAAAGCGUGGGGAGCAAACAGG